rnacentral:rRNA from 1 species
GACGAACGCCGGCGGCGCGCUUAACACAUGCAAGUCGAACGGAAAGGCCUGCUUUCCCUUGUGGAUUGCGGGUACUCGAGUGGCGAACGGGUGAGUAACACGUGAGUGAUCUGCCCCCAACUUGGGUAUAAGCCUGGGAAACUGGGUCUAAUUCCCGAUAGGACUGCAGGGUGGUGCCUGUGGUGGAAAACGAUUUUCUAGUGGUUGGGGAUGAGCUCGCGGCCUAUCAGCUUGUUGGUGGGGUAAUGGCCUACCAAGGCGGCGACGGGUAGCCGGCCUGAGAGGGUGGACGGCCACAUUGGGACUGGGAUACGGCCCAGACUCCUACGGGAGGCAGCAGUGGGGAAUAUUGCACAAUGGGCGGAAGCCUGAUGCAGCGACGCCGCGUGGGGGAUGACGGCCUUCGGGUUGUAAACUCCUUUCGACCGCGAGGAAGCCACCUGGUUGGAAGGGUGGUGACGGUAGUGGUAGAAGAAGCACCGGCUAACUACGUG